UCAGACGAUGCGUCAUGCAUAUCAAUAAGCGGAGGAAAAGAAACUAACAAGGAUUCCCCUUAGUAACGGCGAGUGAAGCGGGAAGAGCUCAAAUUUGAAAUCUUCAAGGUUUUACCUUGACGAAUUGUAGUUUAAAGAAGUGUUUUCUGCUGAAGUUUUGGUAAAAGUUCUUUGGAAUAGGACAUCAUAGAGGGUGAGAAUCCCGUAUGAUUGACCGAUUAUUGUCAGCUUUGUGAUACACUUUCAAAGAGUCGGAUUGUUUGGGAAUGCAGUCCAAAAUGGGUGGUAAAUUUCAUCUAAAGCUAAAUAUUGGCGAGAGACCGAUAGCGAACGAGUACCGUGAGGGAAAGAUGAAAAGAACUUUGAAAAGAGAGUUAAACAGUACGUGAAAUUGUCAAAAGGGAAGCGUUUGACACCAGUGUUGUUUUCUCGAAAAUCAAUUAAAAAUGGCUCGAUUUUGUAUUGCUUGAGACCUUAAAAGCUCACUGUACAUUUUUCGUGUUUUUUUUAAUGCACUUUUCGUUUAACAAGUCAACAUCAGUUUCUUUUGUUGUAAAAGGGUCAUUGGAAGGUGGCUUUCUUUUCGGAGAAAGUGUUUAUAGCCUUUGGCCUCUGCAAUCGGAGAGACUGAGGUCUGCAGCGUAGACUCUUCGGGGUUAGAUACAUUUGUGCUAAGUUAUAGCUUUUUAUAGACAACUUGUUGACUAUAAUUAGUCUUGUAGCUUACUCGCUUAUGCUAUUUUACCUACGCUUAGGAUGUUGACUGAUAUGUAGUCGUA
rnacentral:rRNA from 1 species